rnacentral:rRNA from 1 species
AGUAACGCGUGGGUAACCUGCCUCACACAGGGGGAUAACAGUUGGAAACGGCUGCUAAUACCGCAUAAGCGCACAGUACCGCAUGGUACAGUGUGAAAAACUCCGGUGGUGUGAGAUGGACCCGCGUCUGAUUAGCUAGUUGGUGAGAUAACAGCCCACCAAGGCGACGAUCAGUAGCCGACCUGAGAGGGUGACCGGCCACAUUGGGACUGAGACACGGCCCAGACUCCUACGGGAGGCAGCAUG